UGGGGAAUAUUGCACAAUGGGCGCAAGCCUGAUGCAGCGACGCCGCGUGAGGGAUGACGGCCUUCGGGUUGUAAACCUCUUUCAAUAGGGACGAAGCGCAAGUGACGGUACCUAUAGAAGAAGCACCGGCCAACUACGUGCCAGCAGCCGCGGUAAUACGUAGGGUGCGAGCGUUGUCCGGAAUUACUGGGCGUAAAGAGCUCGUAGGUGGUUUGUCGCGUUGUUCGUGAAAACUCACAGCUUAACUGUGGGCGUGCGGGCGAUACGGGCAGACUAGAGUACUGCAGGGGAGACUGGAAUUCCUGGUGUAGCGGUGGAAUGCGCAGAUAUCAGGAGGAACACCGGUGGCGAAGGCGGGUCUCUGGGCAGUAACUGACGCUGAGGAGCGAAAGCGUGGGGAGCGAACA
rnacentral:rRNA from 1 species